AACGAACGCUGGCGGCAGGCUUAACACAUGCAGGUCGAGCGCCCCGCAAGGGGAGCGGCAGACGGGUGAGUAACGCGUGGGAACGUACCCUUUGCUACGGAAUAGCUCCGGGAAACUGGACUUAAUACCGUAUGUGCCCUACGGGGGAAAGAUUUAUCGGCAAAGGAUCGGCCCGCGUUGGAUUAGCUAGUUGGUGGGGUAAUGGCCUACCAAGGCGACGAUCCAUAGCUGGUCUGAGGGGAUGAUCAGCCACAUUAGGACUGAGACACGGCCCAAACUCUUACGGGAGGGAGCAGUGGGGAAUAUUGUACAAUGGGCGCAAGCCUGAUCCAGCCAUGCCGCGUGAGUGAUGAAGGCCUUGGGGUUGGAAAGCUCUUUCACCGGAGAAGAUAAUGACGGUAUCCGGAGAAGAAGCCCCGGCUAACUUCGUGCCAGCCGCCGCUGUAAAAC
rnacentral:rRNA from 1 species